GGUUGUGGUUCAGUGGCAGAGCACUCACCUAGCAUGUGCGGGGCCCUGGGUUCGAUCCUCAGAACCA
rnacentral:tRNA from 1 species